ACAGGUAUUCUUUAGAUAAAAAGUCAUGAGUGGUUAUUUGAGAAAUGUUUUCCAUCAUGCAGGAACCAGAGGACCUGUUUGAGACCAUCUCCCAGGCUAUGCUGAAUGCAGUUGAUAGAGAUGCAGUGUCUGGUAUGGGAGUCGUCGUACACGUCAUUGAGAAAGACAAGAUCACCACACGAACCCUGAAAGCCAGGAUGGAUUAGAGCUUCUGUUUCUUCCCACACUUCACCAACACACGUUUUUGUAUGAAAAUAUUAAACAAUGCUUGUACUGUCUCUUUUUUCUUCCUCAAUAAAUCUAAAACAAUGAACUUGA